GCUUAGUGUCAGCUCAGUCACUAUGACAAGUUACCAGUGACCCGGGCUGCAGAUGCCUCCUCGCUCCAACUCUUACCCUGCCAUGAAGUAAACAAUCACGUUAUUCUUUCGGUGGCAUUCUCUGAUGCCCACGUCAGACAGUUUGUUUAUCUACAACAAUAUGGGAGGAAUGCUGCUUCACGUGCUCACAGGGAAGAACACGUAACUCAACAUCCACAUUGCCGCAGGUCCUGUGCCCUUUGGGUCAUUCAACCUUCAAAGCAAGGUGUGGUGAGUGCUGUGAACGCAAAGCACAGAGAGCCAUGAAAGCAUAUGAGGAGAAUUCAGCGGUGGAGAGGGUGAUAAAGCUUGCAGCUUGGAGGCAGAAAUGAAGAGAAGUGGAUUCAAGGCAUAUUUAUGACAUAAAAUUAAUGGGACUUGCUGAUGUUCUUGACGUGGAGCCUGGAGGAACACACUAGAUGUGAAGCUGCUGAGGAAAGGCUCUGAUAUGGCGUGUCUUUCCACCUCUCUCGCUCCCAUAAAAAGCGCUCCUUCCAAGAUAUAUACGGCAGGAAUGAAGAUUGGAUCAGGUCUUCUCAACUUUCUUCAUUCGCAGGCCUAGAGUCAUAAUUGUCUUCUGACUAAUGAGCCCCGAAGCCCUACAGAAUCCUGAAUUAUUCAAAGAAAAUUAAAAUAUUUUCCCUCUCCUGUAUCUCCAAGCCUUCUCCCCACCCCCCAAAACAGUCUGUGAACAGAAAGCUUGAAAUAAAUUUUCUUCUUAGUUGGCGCUAAGCAGAACAGCCAAAACGGCAACAAUAAAACCAACCCAUUUCCCAAGAA
rnacentral:lncRNA from 1 species